rnacentral:rRNA from 1 species
GACGAACGCUGGCGGCGUGCCUAAUACAUGCAAGUAGAACGCUGAAGAGAGGAGCUUGCUCUUCUUGGAUGAGUUGCGAACGGGUGAGUAACGCGUAGGUAACCUGCCUGGUGGCGGGGGAUAACUAUUGGAAACGAUAGCUAAUACCGCAUAAAAUGGAUUAUCGCAUGAUAAUCCAUUGAAAGGUGCAAAUGCAUCACUACCAGAUGGACCUGCGUUGUAUUAGCUAGUUGGUGGGGUAACGGCUCACCAAGGCGACGAUACAUAGCCGACCUGAGAGGGUGAUCGGCCACACUGGGACUGAGACACGGCCCAGACUCCUACGGGAGGCAGCAGUAGGGAAUCUUCGGCAAUGGACGGAAGUCUGACCGAGCAACGCCGCGUGAGUGAAGAAGGGUUUCGGAUCGUAAAGCUCUGUUGUAAGAGAAGAACGAGUGUGAGAGUGGAAAGUUCACACUGUGACGGUAUCUUACCAGAAAGGGACGGCUAACUACGUG